rnacentral:rRNA from 1 species
AUUAAACGCUGGCGGCAUGCCUUACACAUGCAAGUCGAACGGCAGCACGGGGGCAACCCUGGUGGCGAGUGGCGGACGGGUGAGUAAAGCAUCGGAACGUAUCCUGGAGUGGGGGGAUAACGUAGCGAAAGUUACGCUAAUACCGCAUAUUCUGUGAGCAGGAAAGCAGGGGAUCGCAAGACCUUGCGCUCUGGGAGCGGCCGAUGUCGGAUUAGCUAGUUGGUGGGGUAAAGGCCUACCAAGGCGACGAUCCGUAGCGGGUCUGAGAGGAUGAUCCGCCACACUGGGACUGAGACACGGCCCAGACUCCUACGGGAGGCAGCAGUGGGGAAUUCUGGACAAUGGGCGGAAGCCUGAUCCAGCCAUGCCGCGUGAGUGAAGAAGGCCUUC